rnacentral:tmRNA from 1 species
GGCUGCCUAAGUGCAGCCCGUCCUUCUCUUCGCACCUGCGCGUUGAGGUAAGGGCGUCGGAUCGCAGGAAACGCGUAUGCAAAGCUUUGAGCAUACGGCAGAUCCAUGAAGCUACUGAAACCGUUACGUUGUCGAUGACAUAACGGCAGAGGGAAUGAAUGAUCACCGACUAUGAUAGUAGAAGGGCGAUGGCGGGCAUUUCGGACAGGGGUUCGAUUCCCCUCAGGUCCACUU